AGAAGAAGAGGCGCCAAGCCAUGGAAUUCAGAUUUGGAGGUAAAUCAGUGAAUUCUCCUUUUUUUUCUUGGUCUAUGUUAGUAAUCAGAAAUCAACCGUAUUUGGUUACGUACUCGGCGGGAAAUAAAAACAGAAUACAUUACAUUUUCGAAACAAAUAUUACAGGUCUCGAAAUAAGACCAAUCAGUCCACCUAUAAUUGAUUCUUAUUAUUAGGUGGAACCCAGACACAGAUCAUGUACUUGAGUGAGAUCAUGCACUUGAGUGAAUGUGGAUCCAACCGUUCUGCCUCAGAUUGUAGGCCAUAUAUAAUCACUUGUCAUAGUACCUUCAAGUCCAUAAAUAAGACAUCACGUCUGCAAAUCAAUGGAUCUAAAGAGAAGGUCAAGCAGCUUGCAGCUUUAUUAAACCAUUCAGCACGAACAUAACACAUUAUACUGUUACCCAAGACAGAUGUAAAAACAGAUUUAUAAUGACAGGAUAAGUAGAAGGAAAAAUAAAUAAAUAAAUAAAUAUUCCUUACAUAAAUGAACUGCCAAGCAUUUUUAUAUACUACAUCAAGUAUGAACUUGCUUAUUCUGUAAUCAUCUUCACAAUCUAAAUCAUGUGGUUGUAUAAGUUGUAAUUUGACAUCGCAUUGGGACAUGGAUAUUGAAAUCUGAUUCUAUACUCUCGUUUGCCCGGCAUCUCAACUGAGUAAUUACAUUGCCCUAUGUAUGCCUUACGGCUUCAUAGGAAUUGUGGUUGGAUCCACCAAAAGUUCAUUUGCUUCCUCUCAUCUGUUUCCCUUUUCUGUUUUCAAAAUUUUUUUGAUUUGUCCUCUCUACACUGGAGCUUUAUGAUCAUUAAAUUAACAUU